rnacentral:rRNA from 1 species
GACGAACGCUGGCGGCGUGCCUAAUACAUGCAAGUCGAGCGAAUCGAUGGGAGCUUGCUCCCUGAGAUUAGCGGCGGACGGGUGAGUAACACGUGGGCAACCUGCCUAUAAGACUGGGAUAACUUCGGGAAACCGGAGCUAAUACCGGAUACGUUCUUUUCUCGCAUGAGAGAAGAUGGAAAGACGGUUUACGCUGUCACUUAUAGAUGGGCCCGCGGCGCAUUAGCUAGUUGGUGAGGUAAUGGCUCACCAAGGCGACGAUGCGUAGCCGACCUGAGAGGGUGAUCGGCCACACUGGGACUGAGACACGGCCCAGACUCCUACGGGAGGCAGCAGUAGGGAAUCUUCCGCAAUGGACGAAAGUCUGACGGAGCAACGCCGCGUGAACGAAGAAGGCCUUCGGGUCGUAAAGUUCUGUUGUUAGGGAAGAACAAGUACCAGAGUAACUGCUGGUACCUUGACGGUACCUAACCAGAAAGCCACGGCUAACUACGUGCCAGCCGCCGCUGUAAGAC